CAGUCGCCGCGGUAAUACGUAGGUCCCGAGCGUUGUCCGGAUUUAUUGGGCGUAAAGCGAGCGCAGGCGGUUAGAUAAGUCUGAAGUUAAAGGCUGUGGCUUAACCAUAGUACGCUUUGGAAACUGUUUAACUUGAGUGCAGAAGGGGAGAGUGGAAUUCCAUGUGUAGCGGUGAAAUGCGUAGAUAUAUGGAGGAACACCGGUGGCGAAAGCGGCUCUCUGGUCUGUAACUGACGCUGUGGAGCGAAAGCGUGGGGAGCGAACAGGAUUAGAUACCCCAGUAGUCCCUGUCUCUUAUACA
rnacentral:rRNA from 1 species